UACGGAGGGUGCAAGCGUUAUCCGGAUUCACUGGGUUUAAAGGGCGCGUAGGUGGGCUGGUAAGUCAGUGGUGAAAUCCCCGAGCUUAACUUGGGAACUGCCAUUGAUACUAUUAGUCUUGAAUACUGUGGAGGUUAGCGGAAUAUGUCAUGUAGCGGUGAAAUGCUUAGAUAUGACAUAGAACCCCACUUGCGAAGUCCGCUGGCUACACAUCUCUUGACACUGAGGCUCGCCAUCCUGGGGAUCAAACAGG
rnacentral:rRNA from 1 species